GUUUGUAUUCACAUGGCCACCACACAGAGCGAACGGUGUAACUGGACUUACUAUAAGUUGUAGCUUAAUGUCGCAGGGUUUGGUCAAGGGUUUGGUCACAAGGUUUUGUAACCAAACCAUCGCUUCAGCCAAUCACAGCAAUGAUGUUUCAGCCAAUCACAGGCUAACAAUGGGUCACAUGGUGCCUCCUGGCUCUGCAACCUGUGGCCAAUCAGGUUGUUUUCGACGGUUUGCUCCUCUUUGGCUGUUUAACUGCCGGGUGCUAGACUUGAACAGGCAUGGACCUUGUUAAAGUAACUGCUAGCAGUUUUCCUGUGGCGAGAGGUCCUGUUUGGAAGAAGAGUGAGCCAUACCAAGAUGAGGAAUGGAGUAGUGUGCAGCUGCUGCCAGCCAGGCAGAAGCUUUAGGAUUCAUUUCUGGACAGGGAAAGGCAUUUUAGUGCCUUGGGGCCCUUCAGCCACUGUAGGAACGGGCGUGGUGUUGUCGCAGAAGUCAUAUCCUGGACCUGGCGGCUGACUUUUCCUUAUUUAGACAUCAGCAGCUGGAGCAAGGGAAGAUUCAAGACGCGCAGUAAAGUUUACCUCACUCCAGGGACCACAAUGCAUAAAACCAGAGCAUGCUUCUCUCUGAGCUCUCCGUGAUGUUGAAAAUGAAGCUGUUUCAAGAUUUCCAAAUGCUGACCUGCCUUGUGCCCAGCUCAGUGCAGACAGAAACCAACGCACUGGAAGAGAAACACAACCAGGAAGCGGUCCCCGUCCUGAGAAGACACAGCCAUUAGUGCACAGAGGGUGUGCUCACAUAAGAAGUAAAGCUUUUCCCUUGUGGGGACGUAUUUUUACUGAAAAAGCUUUGCCGACAUGCGUGAGAAGCAUUGGUUGAUCAGACGGGGCCACCUUACUGAAUGACUGCCUGAUGGAUGGUAAAGGUAACCAGAACCCUGUCUUCUGUGGACUGUGUGGGCAGAGGCUCCUGGGGACAGACUUUCUGGGCAGCAAGGCCUGAGUGCUGUCCCUAUUGUGGCCCACUUGUUUUUCACUGAUGGCUGUGGCCUCUGGGGCUGAUAUGAUGCCCACAGCUUGUGCCUCACCACUCUGCUUUGUUCUAGGUCGUAGUGACCCCCACUGUGGCUGGGAUGGCUGCCGUCAGAGGGCCAGGGGUUCCUCAACUUGGCAUCUUCACUAUUAUGGGCCAUUUUGUGUCAGAGCCCAUCUUUUGCUCUGGGCUGUCUCUAUGAGGUCAUGAGCAUCCUGUUGCCCCAUGUACAGGAAGAGAUGCCUUUGGACUUAGGCCCAGCUCUGGACAGUAGCUGCAGGGACUUCACACUAAAGCAGAGAGUAUUCCAUUCACUAGACAAUGUUAUCCACACACCGCAGAACAUUCCUCAUCCUUCUCUUAAAAUGCCUUCCUGGGGGAGAC
rnacentral:sRNA from 1 species